rnacentral:rRNA from 1 species
GAUGAACGCUGGCGGCGUGCUUAACACAGGCAAGUCGAACGAGAAGUGAAGACGGAAACCUUCGGGCGGAAGGCUUUAUUUCGAGUGGCGGACGGGUGAGUAACGCGUGGGUAACCUGCCUCAUACAGGGGGAUAACAGUUGGAAACGACUGUUAAUACCGCAUAAGACCACAGCACCGCAUGGUGCGGGGGUAAAAACUCCGGUGGUAUGAGAUGGACCCGCGUUCGAUUAGCCAGUUGGCGGGGUAACGGCCCACCAAAGCGACGAUCGAUAGCCGAUCUGAGAGGAUGACCGGCCACAUUGGGACUGAGACACGGCCCAAACUCCUACGGGAGGCAGCAGUGGGGAAUAUUGCACAAUGGGGGAAACCCUGAUGCAGCGACGCCGCGUGAGUGAAGAAGUAUUGCGGUAUGUAAAGCUCUAUCAGCAGGGAAGAAAAUGACGGUACCUGAGUAAGAAGCCCCGGCUAACUACGUG